rnacentral:rRNA from 1 species
AGUGAACGCUGGCGGUAGGCCUAACACAUGCAAGUCGAACGGCAGCACAGUAAGAGCUUGCUCUUACGGGUGGCGAGUGGCGGACGGGUGAGGAAUACAUCGGAAUCUACUUUAUCGUGGGGGAUAACGUAGGGAAACUUACGCUAAUACCGCAUACGACCUACGGGUGAAAGCAGGGGAUCUUCGGACCUUGCGCGAUUGAAUGAGCCGAUGUCGGAUUAGCUAGUUGGCGGGGUAAAGGCCCACCAAGGCGACGGUCCGUAGCUGGUCUGAGAGGAUGAUCAGCCACACUGGAACUGAGACACGGUCCAGACUCCUACGGGAGGCAGCAGUGGGGAAUAUUGGACAAUGGGCGCAAGCCUGAUCCAGCCAUACCGCGUGGGUGAAGAAGGCCUUCGGGUUGUAAAGCCCUUUUGUUGGGAAAGAAAAGCAGCAGGUUAAUACCCCGCUGUUCUGACGGUACCCAAAGAAUAAGCACCGGCUAACUUCGUG